rnacentral:tRNA from 1 species
GCAUGCAGGAGAUGUGGGGUAAUAUCCCGCAAGUCUUA